rnacentral:SRP_RNA from 3 species
CGUUGGUUCUCCCGCAACACUACCCUGCGGACCCGGUCAGGUCCGGAAGGAAGCAGCCGCAGCAGGCGACGUGUGUGCCGGGAUGUAGCUGGCGGGG